rnacentral:rRNA from 1 species
AACAAACGCUGGCGGCGUGCCUAAUACAUGCAAGUCGAACGGGGAAAGCUUUCGGGUGAGUACUAGUGGCGCACGGGUGAGGAACGCGUGGAUAAUCUGCCUUAGAGUGGGGGAUAACUAGUCGAAAGAUUAGCUAAUACCGCAUAAGACCACAGGAGCUGCGGCUCAAGGGGUCAAAGGUUUUUCGCUCUAAGAUGAGUCCGCGUAAGAUUAGCUAGUUGGUGAGGUAACGGCUCACCAAGGCGACGAUCUUUAACUGGUCUGAGAGGAUGAUCAGUCACACUGGAACUGAGACAUGGUCCAGACUCCUACGGGAGGCAGCAGUAGGGAAUAUUGCACAAUGGAGGAAACUCUGAUGCAGCGACGCCGCGUGAGUGAUGAAGGCCUUCGGGUCGUAAAGCUCUGUCGCAGGGGAAUAACACAAUGAAGGUACCCUGUAAGAAAGGAUCGGCUAACUCCGUGCCAGCCGCCGCGGUAAGAC